rnacentral:rRNA from 1 species
UACGUAGGCAGCGAGCGUUGUUCGGAGUUACUGGGCGUAAAGCGUGCGCAGGCGGUGAUGUAAGACAGUUGUGAAAUCCCCGGGCUCAACCUGGGAACUGCAUCUGUGACUGCAUCGCUGGAGUGCGGCAGAGGGGGAUGGAAUUCCGCGUGUAGCAGUGAAAUGCGUAGAUAUGCGGAGGAACACCGAUGGCGAAGGCAAUCCCCUGGGCCUGCACUGACGCUCAUGCACGAAAGCGUGGGGAGCAAACGGG